CGCGAAGAACACUCCUUCACCCUCUGCAAAAUAUCUCGUCCCCUUGCGCUCGCUCGGCAAGACCAGGGUUUCAGGGUUCUCCUCAAUCGGAUUCAGUGUGGGACUUGCCCUUCAAAUUCGGCCGGAGACGGAGCCCUCCUCCCAUCCACGGCGGCCACCAUUUCUGUCCCGUUCUUCUCAAUCGGCAUAUUUCCGCUGGUUGGUUCGUGUUCAAUUUUGCCUACACCGCAAGAAAAAGUGAAAGGAAAUGCUAGUCAGAGUGGUAUGAAAACCUACCAGUACUCAAGUAAAGCACCUAUGCCAGUUAACAUAUUCCAGCAUUCUGGAUACCCAAUCCCAACUAGCACUCGAUGGAGGAUCUCCCGGAGGCACUGCUGGCAGAGAUCAUCAAGAGGGUUACCAAAAGAAGUGACUUGAAUUCUCUUUCCCUUGUCUCGAAGCGUCUCUUCGCCAUCCAGGCUGAGCAAAAGGGGUCCAUCCGGGUUGGUUGUGGCCUUUGCCUUGCCACUGAAGCUUUGGUGUCACUCUUCUCCCGGUUCCCCAAUUUGUGGAAAGUUGAGAUCGAUUAUGCUGGCUGGACACCUUCCCACGGGGAUCAGUUGGACAACCAUGACCUCUUUGUGAUUAUAUCUUGCUGUCCCUCUCUAACCGAUCUCACACUAAGUUUCUGUUCACAAAUCGAUGACACCGGUCUUGGUUAUCUAUGCUACAGCGAGAAAUUGACUUCCCUCAGGCUGAACUCUGCAACUGAAAUAACUUCUUGUGGACUUCUCUCGGUUGCAGUUGGUUGCAAGAGUCUGUCUUCCCUCCACCUUAUCAACUGUGAGAAAGUAGGCAGUACCGAGUGGCUGGAGUAUCUAGGCUUGAAUGGAUCAUUGGAAGAAUUUGUACUCAAGAAUUGCAAUGGAAUCAGCCUGUAUGACCUCAUAAUGCUUGGUCCAGGAUGGAUGAAGCUACGCAAGUUUGAAUUUCGAAUGGGAGGAUUAUGGGAUGUUCAUGAGGGAUAUGAUCAUAUGGAAAUCGAUGGUUAGUCAUGAAGCUGACAAUUGAUGUUUCAUGCUGCCAUGAUUGUUGUUUGGCUUGUGAGCAGUUAAUUUGGGGAAAAUUGCCAGGGAGAAGAAUGAGAUUUCGAGGGUCUUCUAGUUGAUUAUUUUUAUUAAGAUGUCAUGCUGUAACAUCUGUCACCAAGAGACUUAACACAACAAAUUAUCGGAGCUUUCAUCAAUUAAAACAUCAACAUCCUGGACCAUUACACUGUGGAAAACGUACAGAAAUGCCGGCCAUGCAGUUGCUCUGGCUAGUGCAUGGCCUGAGAAGCAGGAGGGAACAUGCAGGAGAAAACUACUUGCCGGUACUUUAUCCCUUGUUAAUUCAUGUUACUUUUCUGGAACAAAUGUAAGAUGGCAUGGUCAGUUGUUCUGCUAUGGUGGAAUUCAGGAUCCCAUAUCAGAAGAAUUUACUAGAGGACUGUUGAUGACUUGUUUCCUCAGAUUAUUCCAGAUGCAGAAGUAAACUCGGAAGAGAAAGAUGAUAGCAUGGUAGCAUCUUCAAAUGGUAUGGGGUGCACAGCCCUGAAAGUAUGGAAUUAGUAUACACUAGGUGGUUUUCCCAUGUUACUUGAAGGCUAUCAUCUUUUAUGGAGCAGUCUACUCUCGGAAGCCCAAAAUGGGAGAAUUAACAGCACGAUCGGUUUAAGUGGCAGGAGCUCACGGUCUUCAUCAGCUAGUUGCCCAUGGGGUCAGUGGUGAAAUGUAGCUGAAGAAAUCUCUCUGUAUUCUGCAAUUGGAUGAAAUUUGGGCAGCCAUGUGCCCAUGUGGGUCUCAGAAGGCAAAACAAAAAGCUAUUGAGAUGAUGCUUGAUAAGUUAUUGCAAAUUUUCAGUGUGGUUUGCAGCUGUUAUGCACUAUAGACAGUAUAAAAAUAUCCACUAGGGAGAAUAUAAUCUGCUUACUUAGUGUAAACUAAAUUAAUUGCUAAUUGCUCUAUUUCUGUACUAAUUCCUAGUUCAAAUUGGAUCUUCAUCCUGACAGGAAAUUUUAGAGUGUUUUAUUGUAUUUGCCCAUCAUUUCUGUAUGUCAUAAUAAAUGAAGUUGUGUCAUAAAAUUUUUUU